UACAGGGGGUGCAAACGUUGCUCGGAAUCAUUGGGCGUAAAGCGCACGUAGGCGGUCUGUUAUGUCGGAUGUGAAAGCCCUUGGCUCAACUGAGGAAGUGCAUCCGAAACUGGCAGGCUAGAGUACGAAAGAGGAUCGCGGAAUUCCCGGUGUAGAGGUGAAAUGCGUAGAUAUCGGGAGGAACACCAGUGGCGAAGGCGACUUCCUGGCCUGUUCUUGACGCUGAGGCGCGAAAGCUAGGGUAGCAAACGGG
rnacentral:rRNA from 1 species